CUAUUCCCUUAAACGACACAUCAAUCAACAUUAUUGAAGACUCCGGUACAUAUAAAGCAACAUAUAACUGCAAUGGUGGAGCGAAUCUGAUUGGUAAUGGUGUUAUAACAUGCCAAAACAAUCUUACAUGGACGGCUCCGUUAUUCUUUUGUUCAGAGUGUUCCGAUCCACCAGUUAUUCCGCAUGGAAACUUGCAUAUUGACUUAAUACAGACUGAUCAACUGGUAUACUAUGAUUGCAAUGAAGGAUUUAAUUUCUAUGGCGAAACAUAUAUCAAAUGUCAAAAUGACGACACAUGGACCAACCCGAAAUUCGUUUGUACACCCUGCAUCGAACCACCAAGUGUUCAAAAUGCUUCCUACAAAAUUGAAAACAUCAACAGCAAUUAUGAAGUGCUUUAUGAAUGUGAUGGAGGACUAUUGUUGAUUGGAAACAAAUUCAUAAAUUGUCAGUUAAACGGGACUUGGACAUAUCCAACAUUAUUAU